GAGUUAAAUAGUAAUUCAAGGCACCAUGUUUUCUUAGAAACCAUUUCCUUAUAUCUUUUAUUAGAUAUGUUGACCAGCUUUUAGAUGCACUCCAUUCGCUCUGCCAUUUUUCUAGCAUGAGGUUUCUACUUUCUUCUUUUGUUUUGCCGUUGAAAAUUUGUCGUCUUUCCUGUGUUAGUAGGUGAAUAGGAGGUAAGCCGCUUAUGGCUAAAAUCGAAUCUGUAGCAACAGUGCGAUAGGCACAUGUCACCCUAAGUGCCAUUCUACGUUGUAGCGAUAAAAGUUUGUUCCGAAGUGAUAUUGUGUCCAUUGCCUUUGCCCAUAUUGGUGCUCCGUAUAAAAUUACAGAGUGUCCCACUGUGCUCAACAUCUUUCUUUUCAUCGUUGACGGACCUCCAAUGUUAGGCAUUACUGAUGACAAUGCAGAGAUCGUUUUUUCUGCUUUUAUAGCGCACUCUGUUAUGUGCCUUUUAAAGUUGAUAUUUCUUCCUAUCCACACGCCGAGGUAUUUUACUGCUUCUUUUGGCGUAACUAAAGUUCCCAUGAUAUUAAACUGUACGUCCGGAGGUUUUCUUCUGCAAUUUAGAAGUACUGCUUCUGUUUUAUCGGGUGCUAAUUUUAGCUUUUUGCUGUACAUCCAGUGUACAAUUUUGUCUAGAGUAUCAUUUGUUUUUUCUACUAAAUCCUCUAUGGUUUUUGCAGAUACAAUCACAGCCAAAUCAUCGGCAUAUCCCACGAGCUCGACAUCUUCCGCAACCGACAGUCUCAGGACACUGUCAUACAUUAUAUUCCAUAGCAGUGGUGCGAGCACCGACCCCUGUGGAACCCCGCUGUUUACUUCUAGUAGUUUACCAUGUUCGGUUUAGGAAGAAGAAUCAGUCGUGCUGUUUUCCAGCAAUCCGGAAAGGAUUUUCUCCUUAGACAGGAAUACCAUCUGGUCCAGUGGCUUUACCAGGUUUCAGGCGUUUGGCGGCAAUUAGUAGUUCUUCCAGUGUGAAAUUUUUUAUGGGGUUCUUUAUUGGUUCGGGCCAUACUACUUCAGGAUGGCGCGGAAACAGAUGCACUACAACGUUUUCCAGUUCAUCCUCACCGUUUCCCCAGACGUCGUCAUCAAUUGAGGCACAUAAUUCCUGCCACUUUGAAUGUUUUGAGAUUUUUAUUUCCUUUCGUAGUUUAUCCCUUGCUAUUUUUAGUGUGUUUACCUUAGUUUCUAGGUUUUGUGACAAUGUUGUUUUAGGUCGAGCUCUUGUUACAGCUCGUCUGGCUUUGAUAGAUUCUUUCCGGAGUUGGGCAAUACGAUCGUUCCACCAGUAGCAGGGUCUUCGUUUUGGUGAAAAAGAUUUCUUUAACAUCGCAGCGUUGCAUGAUUUUUCAAGACUGUCUUUUAGUUGCUCGGGCGAGUUUAUACUGCCACACUUAUUAAACCUUUUUAGGAGUUUCGCCUUAUUCAAUGAUUUUAGGUUCCACGCUGGGGGUUGGUUUGAAUUAUACUGAUGGCUAUCUGGUAAAUUUGUUUCCCAUUUGAAAGAAAUGAUUUUGUGGUCGCUGAGGGAUUCUGUAUCCAUCGUUGUCCAUCCUUGUAUGUUAUUUGCGACGUUUUGAGAUACUAGUGUUAAGUCUAUGAUUG